UACAGAGGUCCCGAGCGUUGUUCGGAUUCACUGGGCGUAAAGGGUGCGUAGGUGGUGGGAUAAGUCGGAUGUGAAAUCUCUGGGCUCAACCCAGAGACUGCUUCCGAAACUGCUGUACUUGAGUGUGAGAGAGGCUCGUGGAAUUGCAGGUGUAGCGGUGAAAUGCGUAGAUAUCUGCAGGAACACCCGUGGCGAAAGCGGCUCACUGGCCCGGUACUGACGCUGAGGUGCGAAAGCGUGGGGAGCAAACAGG
rnacentral:rRNA from 1 species